rnacentral:rRNA from 1 species
GAUUCUGGCUCAGGACGAACGCUGGCGGCGUGCCUAACACAUGCAAGUCGAGCGGGGACACAUUUGGAAGUUUCGGAUGGAAGAAGUGUGUUCUAGCGGCGGACGGGUGAGUAACGCGUGAGCAACCUGUCCCUCACAGGGGAAUAACGCAUCGAAAGGUGUGCUAAUACCGCAUGAGACCACGGUACCGACAUGGUACAGGGGUUAAAGGAGCAAUCCGGUGAGGGGUGGGCUCGCGUCUGAUUAGCUGGUUGGUGAGGUAACGGCUCACCAAGGCGACGAUCAGUAGCCGACCUGAGAGGGUGAUCGGCCACAUUGGAACUGAGAAACGGUCCAAACUCCUACGGGAGGCAGCAGUGGGGAAUAUUGGGCAAUGGGCGAAAAAGCCUGACCCAGCAACGCCGCGUGAAGGAAGAAGGUUUUCGGAUCGUAAACUUCUAUCCUAGGUGAAGAUAAUGACGGUAGCCUAGAAGGAAGCCCCGGCUAACUACGUGCCAGCCGCUGC